rnacentral:rRNA from 1 species
UACACGCUGUGACUAGCAUAUCAAUAAGCGGAGGAAAAGAAACUAACAAGGACUCCCCUAGUAACGGCGAGUGAAGCGGGAAGAGCUCAAAUUUGAAAUCUUAAAGGGUUUCCCUUUACGAAUUGUAGUUUAAAGAAGUGUUUUCUGUUGAGGUUUUGGUAAAAGUUCUUUGGAAUAGGACAUCAUAGAGGGUGAGAAUCCCGUAUUUGACCUUUACUUUCAACUUUGUGAUACACUUUCAAAGAGUCGGAUUGUUUGGGAAUGCAGUCCAAAAUGGGUGGUAAAUUUCAUCUAAAGCUAAAUAUUGGCGAGAGACCGAUAGCGAACAAGUACCGUGAGGGAAAGAUGAAAAGAACUUUGAAAAGAGAGUUAAACAGUACGUGAAAUUGUCAAAAGGGAAGCGUUUGACACCAGUGUUGGUUUUCUGAAAAUCAAUUAAAGAACUGUUUAUGCUAAGCUGUUUAGACUUUAUCAGCUAACUGUUUAGUUUUGAGCUUUUCUUUAAUGCACUUUUCAGUUAACAAGUCAACAUCAAUUUCUUUUGCUGUAAAAAAGCUUGAGGAAGGUGGCUUGAGAUUCGUCUUAAGUGUUUAUAGCCUCUUGCCUAUGCAGUCGGAGAGAUUGAGGUCUGCAGCGUAGAUCCUUCGGGGCUAAAUGCAUUUGUGCUAAGUUAUAGCAUUUUAUAGACAACUUGUUGACUAUGAUUUGUCUUGUAGCUUACUCGCUUAUGUUAUUUUACCUACGCUUAGGAUGUUGAGUCGUAGAGCACGCAG